rnacentral:rRNA from 1 species
UACGGAGGGUGCAAGCGUUAAUCGGAAUUACUGGGCGUAAAGCGUGCGCAGGCGGGUUGUUAAGUCCGCUGUGAAAUCCCCGAGCUCAACUUGGGAAUUGCAGUGGAUACUGGCAAGCUGGAGUAUGGUAGAGGAAGGUGGAAUUCCCGGUGUAGCAGUGAAAUGCGUAGAGAUCGGGAGGAACACCAGUGGCGAAGGCGGCCUUCUGGGCAGUUGCUGACACUGAGGCGCGACAGCGUGGGGAGCAAACAGG